rnacentral:snRNA from 1 species
GGAUGUGAGGGCGAGCUGGCUGCAACAUCUGUCAUCGUGUUGAUCGCCAAGGUUGAUUCGGCUGACCUGGCUGACCAGGUGGGUGUCCCUUUCCUCCCUCAACACUCCUUGUACAUCCCUCGUGAAGCUGUGAGCUAGGUCGAACAGGACAACCAUCCCACACAGAGUAAGACAGCUCCUCGGCCAAGGGGCUACAGACGGCUGCACUCGCCUGCUAGAACCUCAAAACAAGCUCUCAGACUUGCCAUGAGAAAUAACAAUCUUCAGGUACAUCCUGGAAAUAAUUAAUAUAUCUUUGUCUG